ACGUUUCCAGCCACAAGUAAUGAGAUCACUGGACUAGAAUUUUGCCAGCACUCUAAAGACUAAUCAGUGCACUGGAGCAGGCAGGAACUAUCGGAUGGGCUUAUCCUUGUGUGACAUGUCUGCUGUGUCCUGAGGAGAUCCUGAUGUCACUCCAGGAGGCACAGCCUAAACAUGGAAAUGAAGAAAACAGUCCUCCAGCAGAGGGCUGGUCAGAGCACACAGUGACAUCUCCCACAUCAAGACUAGCGCCACAUUUGCCACAACACAAGCCAUCUGAGAUGUUGGUACUGCAGCUCCACUGCAAGGAUUUCAAGUUAUGAGUGAAAAUUAGAUUGUCUGGAGUAAAAUGAUCAACAGUCGACAAUAUUUGAGUUUGAGAUAUGUCAUAGAGCUUCUUUUUCUUGUUAGUUAACAAAAAGGUAUGCUUAAAUAAAAAUCUGCAGUGAGAAAUAUAUCUGAGCUUUCCAUUUUGAA